CAGUCAUUUGGCUGGUGGAAAGGGACUGACACGACGGAAUGAGCAGCACACAUCCACUGCGGGGAAUGAGACUUUUGAUUUGACGGGCUAUCGGUUUUUCACCUAUACUGUUCAACUCCUGUUCAAUUAUUCAAAUAAAUUAUUCUGAGUGAAAUCCGAAGUCUGGUCCUUGUCAAGUGUGGACACCUCGCAGUUAAAAAACACUUGACAUUGAGACAUAUGUGAAAGAAGCGUUUCUCUUCUCAUCUGCUGAGCUCAGUAACCUUGGCAUAAGGCAGGCAUCACUGCUGAACCAUGGCAACAAACAGGUUUCACUACAAAUUUAAAGAAGUUAAAAUGACAUUUUGUUUCUAUGAUGCAUUCAUGUUUAAAGGUUCAGUGUAUAAGUUUUAGUUGCAUUUCGUGGUGAGGGUGGCAGUUUGCAACCAACGGCUCACUGUGCAUUCACGUGCUCCUCGGAUGGUCCCAUUUCCCGAGUUGUGAAGUCGUUCUUCCGACUUCUGGUGUGUUCAUGCGCUCUUUUGUCGGAAUGUGGAAUCAACAUGGACGCUACUACAAAGAUGUGUUAGAUUAGCAUUAUCAGAGCAAUUUAAUUUCUAAAUCCAACAACAAAAAGGCUGUGAAAACUUUCAACACAUGGUCCUCUUUUAAUGUUUAUAUAUGAUACAGACUACCCCUGGCAAAGUGUUUUUUGUGUCUUCUUAUAUUUGCUGUUUUCUAUACUUUUUUAUGUCCCAUUUACACUUCACUCUUCUUUUUUUCAAUAAAGGAAAUUGAAAAUAAAUCCAAUUAUUCCAACACCACAUGAAUGCACCAUCAGUCACCGCUCAGCCCUUCUUUUCCAAGCAUGCAGGAGAAGCUACGGUGGCCGACAUGUUAGGUCGGCUCUUGGGUUAAAUAAUAUGUGUGGUCCUCCAUUUGUCAGAAUUUCGCUUCUCUUCUAAUAAACCCUACUACUGCUAAAACUA